UUUUGUUUUAACUAGGCGAGUAACCUGCAUUUUUUAAGAGACACCUUUUAUUUGAGUUUGUAUUUAAAGUUGCCAGAACCAAGCAAAUGUUAGGAUUGCCCUUUCCCUUUUUUUCUCAUUUAUAAAUAUAUUUAAUGAAAUUAACUCUUUUGACAUAGAUUAAUCACAGGAUUUUUUCAUCAUCAAUUUUGAGCAAUUGAAGAGGAGAGAAUUAGAAAAGAAAUCACAAAUACUUGGCAACCUAUCUUUUGCCUGUGAGUGUAACUCGUAUCAUCAAUGUUGAAUAAUGAAGAAAACACUAAAUACCAUGAUAACAUGACAUAUUAGUUUGCUAGCUUCUGUGGAAAUGAAACUCUAAGUAAAUUCUCUUUUAUUCAAUGGAUGAGCUGAAAUCUCAAUUAAUGGUAUCUUGGCCAAAACUUGCUAUACAAAGUUGGGACACCACAAUAAAAGUGCCAAAUAGCAUUUGUAGUAAAGCAUAUCUUUAUAUCUGCCAAUUUUUUAUGAAGA
rnacentral:misc_RNA from 1 species